CCUACGGGUGGCAGCAGUAGGGAAUCUUCGUCAAUGGGCGCAAGCCUGAACGAGCGAUGCCGCGUGAGUGAAGAAGGCCUUCGGCUCGUAAAGCUCUGUUGCUGGGGAAGAAAGGCCGCAUGAGGAACUGUUUACUGACUGAUGGUACCCCGCCAGAAAGUCACGGCUAACUACGUGCCAGCAGCCGCGGUAAUACGUAGGUGGCAAGCGUUAUCCGGAUUGAUUGGGCGUAAAGCGAGCGCAGGCGGUUGCUUAGGUCUGAGGUGAAAGCCUUCGGCUUAACCGAAGAAGUGCAUCGGAAACCGGGCGACUUGAGGGCAGAAGAGUACAGUGGAACACCAUGUGUAGCGGGGGAAUGCGUAGAGAUAUGGAAGAACACCAGUGGCGAAGGCGGAUGUCUGGUCUGCAACUGACGCUGAGGCUCGAAAGCAUGGGUAGCGAACAGGAUUAGAUACCCGAGUAGUC
rnacentral:rRNA from 1 species